rnacentral:miRNA from 1 species
AUUCACGCUUAUGUGAAACAUAUUCACACAUAUGUGAAUUUAUAUGUGUGCUUCACAUAUAUGUGAUCCACAUUCACGUAUAUGGGAAUAUGUUUCACAUAUGGGUGAAU